GCCGCGGCGAGGGCCCCGGCCAGCCCGCCUGAGAUGAUGUGGGACUGCGGGUUGUAGCUCCGGUAGAAGGCCCCCAACCCCUCGGUCCUCCACACCGUCCGGAUGCAGCUGAUUGCUGACCGGUGCUGCGAGUUGUACAUCUGCAAGCGCUGCUUCACCACUGUGGUUGGAACCGCGGGGCAGGCCAGACGGACAGCCAGUGGGCAGUGGGUUGGAUGUGGCCCCACCCCAGGUCGGAAUGAAGCCAAGCCAUAAAGAGAAACAAGCCAGUUAGACACCGGAAACAGGCGAGAGCCAGCACACACAGCCCUAGUCUGAGCAGCCGCGGAGGGCCAGCUCCCGGCAGUCCUAGGUUAAAAUCCAUUUUUAUCUCCAGGACUCACGCCUGGAAGGUGGCUAUUUCCGUCUCUCCUGCCUGAAUCUUGCUGAAGGCAGCCCCCGAACCAGGCAGCCACUUCAGACUAGAGUCGCUGAUCUGUUUCCCAGAUCCUGGCUACCCCUGGUAGGAACCCUCAGGACCCACCACAAAGCUGAAUCCUGUCCCCUGUCCCCUCUGCCCUCCUCCUUCCCCAACACAUCUACUGGAAGCGUGCCCCCUUGUGUAUUCUCAGGGGUUUGUGCCUCUAAUGGUAAUUCUAGCUUCUGUGACACAGUGCGUUUGGAACAGACACUAGAAUUAUGUCUGCCCAAGUUCAAUGACAUUCUAAGUGGAGUUCACAGGACAAGAGGCAAAUGAGACUAACUGUGGUACCUUAGGCUCAGGGUUUUAAUGGCCUCAUGUAUUGCCAAAUAAAUACAUACAAUGUGCUUUACUUUUAAACAAAUAAAGACUGUAAACCAAUAGUUAUGACAAGGAGAAAGAGAGAGUUUGAGCCUCACUUUUUUCUACUUUAAAAAAGAUAAACAAAACCCUUGCUUGGUUACACGAAGUUAACUACCUGUUUACUGACUGGGUCCCUGAAUGAACUGUCAUAAAAAGAAGCCCAAGAUAUAUAAUAUGUAAGCGAAUGUUUAUUUGGGCAUUUUUAGGUUUUUCAUUGAACUACUUCCUAGAAGGGUUUCCUCUCCACCCCACCCCACCCCCCACCACCGCUUACCUAAGAAUGCCUCUUUCCUGUCCCCAAAACACUGUCUUGAACGCAUUCAUUACAGGACAAGCCAUGAAGGCAGGUCAGUUUACUUAAGGACAUCACAUCUCUUGAGAAAGAUAAUGUGUACAAAACAAAACAGAACAUGAGCUGUCUUUCUCAGCUCUCUACUUUGUAAAUAAAAAGGGGGAAAGGUGUGUGUCCCUUCAGCAUGCCUCGUGCGGCACACGAUAAAGAAAUCAAGGGGAAUGGAGAAGGUGAUUUUCUUCACCUGCCCAUCGGGUCAACCUCAGCACCCAGACCACAGAGACUCCCCGCCCACCUCCCAACCUGCCCCAUCACAACCCUGAAGGUCAGACCAAGUCCUCUAUCUGCUAGGACAUGGAGGGUAGCUGAGAACAAAUUUAAUAGCUUCACCUUGAAAGACAAAAGACAGGCAAACUUAUAGCAUGAGACUUAAAAUGUUGAAACUUUUCUCACCAAUUCUCCCUUCUGGCCAGGAACUAUUUUCAGAUGAGGCAAAAAGGUGAAAAGAGCUCCACAACUCACCUAAAGCCAUCGCCAGGUAGAGAAUGACCCAGCUGAAGGCCUGCCCAGUGCCAGGCCCAAAAGGUACUCACUAUUCAGACACGAGUACCCGGCUAAGACGCCGGGAUAUAUAAAAAGGGAACAGACUCUGGUCUGCCCAGCUGAGGCUUGCUUCAUAUUACCCCCGAAAUUUAAAAGAACAAAAAGAAGAUAAUGUGGAAAGAGAUGGCUAAAACAAAAUGACCCAAUGUGAAUUUCUGAAGAACAGUGAUGGACACACUGCGGUACAUCGUAUUAUUCUCUCCACGUUCACAUCUGUUUGAAAUGUGAUCCAUAAUCUUUCAUAUUAAAAACAGUCAAAUUGAACACUAGCCCUAAAGAAUAGCCUCUGAUGGGUUCCCCAUACAUUUGUCUAGGAUCGAUAAGGGUUAACAAGGGCUAAGAGAGUGAGUGUGUGUGUGUGUGUGUGUGUGUGUAUGCACACAUAGGUUUUAGAAUAGUGCAAAAGCAUGCAACAGAAUCACCAAUAAACAGAUUCUGGUCCCUAGCUCCAGGGAUUCUGAUCCAGUAGGUUCGGUGUAAAGCCUGAGAAUUAGCCUUUGUUUUCUUUUCUGUUUUGAGGCAGUCUUGCUCUGUCGCCCUGGCUGAGUGCAGUGGUGCAAUCACGACUCACUGCAGCCUCAACCUCCCAAACUCAAGCAAUUCUUCCACCUCAGCCUUCCGAACAGCUGGGACUACAGGCAUGCACCACCACACCUGGCUAAUUUUUGUAUUUUUCAUAGAGACGGGGUCUCAUUAUGCUGCCCACGCUGGUCUUGAACUCCUGGGUUCAAGAGAUCUGCCUGCCUUGGCCUCCCAAAGUGCUGGGAUUACAGUUUUAAACCACCAUGCCGGCCAGAAUUAGCAUUUCCCUUUUUUUUUUUUUUUUUUCCUUUUGAGAUGGAGUCUGGCUCUGUGGCCCAGGCUGGAGUACAGUGGCGUA
rnacentral:lncRNA from 1 species